rnacentral:rRNA from 1 species
UACGUAGGGGGCAAGCGUUGUCCGGAUUUAUUGGGCGUAAAGAGCGUGUAGGCGGCCAGAUAGGUCCGUUGUGAAAACUCGAGGCUCAACCUCGAGACGCCGAUGGAAACCAUCUGGCUAGAGUCCGGAAGAGGAGAGUGGAAUUCCUGGUGUAGCGGUGAAAUGCGCAGAUAUCAGGAAGAACACCCGUGGCUAAGGCGGCUCUCUAGUACGGUACUGACGCUGAGGCGCGAAAGCGUGGGGAGCAAACAGG